rnacentral:lncRNA from 1 species
CUUCGCAUCACCACCUGAGCUCCACCUCCUGCCUGAUCAGCAGCAGUGCUGGAUUCCUAUAGGAGCGCAAAACCCACUGUGAGCCGUGCAGCCAGGGAUCUAUGUUUCGAGGUCCUUUGCGCAUCCCGAGACUGUUCCAGUUGCCACCCCAACCCCAACCACUGAAAAAUUGCCUCCACAAAACUGAUCUCUGAUGCUAAAAGAUGGGGCUUUCUGCUCUGGAGAAUCAGCACCCACACACCCCUCACCAGAGCAGUCUGUGUAUCACGGCCUCCAGGGAGAAGCUGACGUUUCCACAACAGGAGUCAAGAGCCAUGACGGAAGGAGAAGGACCUGCUCUUUGAAGGGGCAGCAAGCCUGGUGAAAGGUGACUGGUGACAGCUUGGCCGGGGGGGUGGAUGCACACGGAAUCUCACGCGGGUUGAGACCAGGUUUUGAUCAUCCGCCAAGACCUGCUCACUUAGGUCUGAGGGUGCCUUGACCACCGUGCCCACCCGCUGCUUGCAGGGACCCUGCUUCUCAGAGGCGGCCGUGUCCCCCAGAGCCAGAAGGUGACAAGCAGCUGCACCCCUAGGAGGCACCAGUGACCCCAGCGCACCCCUGUAUCCUGCACAUGUGCGGUGGGGACAUUUCCCAGGGAGCCGCGUCUAACCUGCUCUCCUGUGUGGGGAGACAGUGGCCGGGUCACCGAAGCAUUGGUGCAUCAAAGCCUUUGCACUUCACCUCUGCCAUGCUGACAAGGAUGCAGAGACACCUGCUGGCGACAAGCCCACGGCUCGACCCCAGCUCAGUCCAAGGAGUCGCCACCCGCCGGCCAUGCGCCACGCAGGUGAACAUGACGCGGACAGUGGCCCGUACUUGGGAUGUGAGUGGAUUUUAAAGACAGCAGAGAAGGCAGGCGUGGUGGUGCAUGCCUGUGAUCCCAGCACUCAGCGGAGGCUGACGCAGGAGGAUCACCAUGAGUUUGAGGCCAGCCUGGGCUACAGAGCAAGACCCCAUCUCAAGAAAAAAAAAAUCUACUGUGAGUGAGUAAGGGUCGCCCUGUGCCAGGGCUGAGGCUGGGGCUCCUGGGAGGGUGGGUUCCAGUCCCGAUGUCUGGCACCCUGGUCAGAGAGGAGAACGCAGCCAGUUUGCAUCUGAGCUCCUCUGCAAGCCGUGGAACUCCUUGCUUUCCCUCAUUUUCAAAGUCUCUCCACAGCACUACGGGGCAACCUGCAUGGGAGGUGUCAUGGCUAUGUGUAGCUGUCCCUCCAAGCCUCAUGUGGUCACAGGUGGGGCUUUUCAGAGGUGGCUGGAUCUAGAGUGUGACACUGGGAUUAAGAUUGGUCUGGCACAGUUCUGGGUGUGGAUAAUGGGAAGGCCCACCUGGGUACUAGUGCUACUUGCCUUAGGGGUGGGUGGCCUAGAUAGAAUAUAAGGGACAGAAAGAGGGCUGCUUGUUACUUGGUGCUUGCCAUUGCUUUGCUACUUCAUGACUUUGCUGUCUUCUGCCUACCCUGCCAUGGACUGUUUCUCCUCUGUGGUGCCCUCUGCCACGUCACCCUGCCUUGGAUCUGGCUAUGGACUGAAACCUCUGCAGACUGUGAGCUAAAUACACCUCUCCUCCUUUAACUGGUAGGUGCCGGGUAUUUUGUCUCAGCAAUGGAAGGAGGAGCCCCAGUGCACACAGGGUGUGGGGGCUGCACCCUGGGAGCUACCCACAUGGCCAAGGGGAGGCUCACAGGAAUUUCACCCAAUCACAAUGCAAAGACAGAUUCUACCACUGGUUCCCAACACAUUGGAAAAGAAAUGCAUAUAGAAAAGCAGGACUCAUGUAAACAAUACAAUUUGAAGGUCAGAUUUUUUAUGUUUUUGAGACAGGGUCUUGCUGGGUAAUUCAGGCUGACCUCACACUCAGGAUGAUCUUCCUACCUCAGUCUCCUGAGUGUUGGGAUCACAGGCAUGCACCACCACCCCUGAAAGGAUUUUUUUUUUAGUACAGAAGAUUAUACUUAUUGCGUAUACUUCAGGUCAGCAUUUUUCUAACUGUUUGAUUAAAUGGUGUGGGUUUUUUGUGUGUGUCAGAAGGCUCUUUGUGGUUUAACAGAAGGUAAGUGUCGGGAGACAGAGAGAACCCCAGGAAACACUAGAUGCGAGGUUUCUUGCUCUCGGGGUGAGGGUGAGCUGGUGAUACUGGGUGUGCACGCUGUGGGAGAGUUCUGGAGCCCUGGGGAGAGGGUAACAGACAGGACUGUGAUGGGUGGGUAGAGGAAGCAGAACACAAAAGCAGGAACUCUGAAUCUUACUCCCAGAACCGCAGCUCAUGGGAGACCCCAGUCCCCUGUCCAGUCUCUUUUAGGCUUCGGUAUAUUUGGUCCAAACGUCUAGAAUGAAUUGAAUGACUGAAAUGCAGAACCACGGAUCCUGCAGAGAAGAACACCCAACCAUGGUGUGUUUUCAGCAUAGUCUUCAGACCGGUGCCCAAGGACUCCUGAUUUACACACUGGCCACAUGUCUCCAGGUGACAGGAGGGGUGACCUCAGCCUUUCCUCCUGGCCCCUCUCCAGGCCCUGCCCCUGGGGUCACUCUGUCCCUCCCUGGGCUCCUGUGACUGCAGUGACCUUCUUUCUCCGAGGUGCCCUGUGGUCCUGAAUGCAAAGCCCACAUGGUUUCAUUUGCAUUUUGAUUUUUAACAAAUUUCUUUAAUUUUAUUGCAAGUGCACUUAGCUUUGUGGUGGAUUUCCCUUUAAAUUUUAUUGUUGUUAUUUCUCUUGUUGAAGUAGAGACCCAAACACUGUGCUGGGUUUUUAAUUUUUGUCUUUGUUUCCCUGAGAGGACUGUUUCCUUGCUAACAGCCAACGAGCCAGGUUUACCACCUGUUUCAUCGACUUUGUGUAUUGAAUUACAGUGGAGGUGUCAAGUAGACAAAAAGUAAAUACAUGAAAACAAUGAAAAAAGUUGGUGAUGCAUAACCUGGUCUUGGAGACAGGAUGAAGGCGCAUUGAUAACUAAGAAAAUUGCAAGCCAUUAUUCAAUUCCAAACCGAGUGGGGUGAUCUCAGGGCUAUGUAAAUUGAGGAGGAAAGAUCCAUGUUUAGUUCAGGAAGUGUGUUGAAAUUAGUGCCUUUGAUUUAAUAGAUAUCCAGAAGGAUCCAACUAAGAAAGUCAGAGGGUUGACUAAGGUGGAGGUCAACUUGAUAGGCCUUGGGAUCUGCCCAGAGGAUCUGGUGUAUCUGAGUGGGUCAUGGAGGUGAACUUGGGGUCUGUAUCUGGUCCCUGGCCCUCCCUCUCUGGCACUGUUCCCUGCUCGGGUCUCUGGCCACCAUGAACUAAGUAGUUUUUCUCUGCCAUUCCCUUCCACCACACUGUUCCUGCCUUGGAGCCAGCUACCAUGGACUGGACCACCUGAAAUCAUGAGCCACAUUGAAUCUCCCUCCUCUAAGUUGUGGGUGUAGAGCGCUGUGUCUCAGCAAUAGGAAAGUGACCGACAUAUUUGGUGAAAGAAUUUGAGAAAGACCAUGGUGACGAUCUGUGUCCUUAUAAGUCCUGUUGUGAAAAUUGGUAGAGCAAACUUGAUAGAAGUGGGGCGGUUGUGAUUUCCCCUCACAGUGACAUGUCAGAUUUGUCUGAUUAAUGGGAGAGUGAAACUUUAUUAUUCCAUUACUGUUUGCUGAUAGUGGCAGCAGUACCACAUUUAUUGUAGAAAAUGUGGAAAAGAUAUGAAAGUCCAGGGCAGAAAACAGAAAUCCCUGUAAUCUUGCUACCAAAAGAGGAACCAUGAUAACCAAUCCAGUGUUUACUUAUCCUGACAUUUUUGUAUAUAAAAUACAUAUAGUUUUGGCAUUAAAAUGGAAUUAUUCUAUAUAAAGUGUGGAUAU